UACGUAGGGUGCGAGCGUUAAUCGGAAUUACUGGGCGUAAAGCGUGCGCAGGCGGUUUGUUAAGACAGAUGUGAAAUCCCCGGGCUUAACCCUGGGAACUGCAUUUGUGACUGGCAAGCUAGAGUAUGGCAGAGGGGGGUAGAAUUCCACGUGUAGCAGUGAAAUGCGUAGAGAUGUGGAGGAAUACCGAUGGCGAAGGCAGCCCCCCUGGGCCAAUACUGACGCUCAUGCACGAAAGCGUGGGGAGCAAACAGG
rnacentral:rRNA from 1 species